UUGGCAUGAUGAGGAAAGUUAAUUGAUCUUGUCUGAUCAACUGGAUGAAAAAAUUCCUCCUACUCAUUCUGA
rnacentral:snoRNA from 2 species